rnacentral:rRNA from 1 species
ACCAGACUCCUACGGGAGGCAGCAGUGGGGAAUAUUGCACAAUGGGGGAAACCCUGAUGCAGCGACGCCGCGUGAGUGAAGAAGUAUUUCGGUAUGUAAAGCUCUAUCAGCAGGGAAGAAAAUGACGGUACCUGAUUAAGAAGCCCCGGCUAACUACGUGCCAGCAGCCGCGGUAAUACGUAGGGGGCAAGCGUUAUCCGGAUUUACUGGGUGUAAAGGGAGCGUAGACGGUGAUGCAAGUCAGAAGUGAAAGCCCGGGGCUCAACUCCGGGACUGCUUUUGAAACUGUGUGACUGGAGUGCAGGAGAGGUAAGCGGAAUUCCUGGUGUAGCGGUGAAAUGCGUAGAUAUCAGGAGGAACACCAGUGGCGAAGGCGGCUUACUGGACUGUAACUGGCGUUGAGGCUCGAAAGCGUGGGGAGCAAACAGGAUUAGAUACCCGCGUAUA